rnacentral:rRNA from 1 species
UACGUAGGGUGCAAGCGUUGCUCGGAAUCACUGGGCGUAAAGGGCGCGUAGGCGGCGUUUUAAGUCGGGGGUGAAAGCCUGUGGCUCAACCACAGAAUGGCCUUCGAUACUGGGACGCUUGAGUAUGGUGGAGGUUGGUGGAACUGCGAGUGUAGAGGUGAAAUUCGUAGAUAUUCGCAAGAACACCGGUGGCGAAGGCGGCCAACUGGACCAUUACUGACGCUGAGGCGCGAAAGCGUGGGGAGCAAACAGG